rnacentral:rRNA from 1 species
UACGGAGGGGGCGAGCGUUAUUCGGAAUUAUUGGGCGUAAAGGGCGCGUAGGCGGCUAGAUGUGUCAAAGGUGAAAUCCCUCGGCUCAACUGAGGAACUGCCUUUGAAACUGUCUGGCUUGAGGCCGGGAGAGGGUAGCGGAAUUCCCAGUGUAGCGGUGAAAUGCGUAGAUAUUGGGAGGAACACCAGUGGCGAAGGCGGCUACCUGGACCGGUUCUGACGCUGAUGCGCGAAAGCGUGGGUAGCAAACAGG